rnacentral:rRNA from 1 species
GACGAACGCUGGCGGCGUGCUUAACACAUGCAAGUCGAACGGAGAGGCCCCUUUGGGGGUACUCGAGUGGCGAACGGGUGAGUAACACGUGAGUAACCUGCCCUUGACUUCGGGAUAACUUCAGGAAACUGGGGCUAAUACCGGAUAGGAAUCCUUGCUGCAUGGUGGGGGUUGGAAAGCUUCGGCGGUUUUGGAUGGACUCGCGGCUUAUCAGCUUGUUGGUGGGGUAGUGGCUUACCAAGGCUUUGACGGGUAGCCGGCCUGAGAGGGCGACCGGCCACAUUGGGACUGAGAUACGGCCCAGACGCCUACGGGAGGCAGCAGUGGGGAAUAUUGCACAAUGGGCGGAAGCCUGAUGCAGCAACGCCGCGUGCGGGAUGACGGCCUUCGGGUUGUAAACCGCUUUCAGCAGGGGCGAAGCUUGUGGUGACGGUACCUGCAGAAGAAGCACCGGCUAACUACGUG